AUGCGAUAAGUAAUGUGAAUUGCAGAAUUCAGUGAAUCAUCGAAUCUUUGAACGCACCUUGCGCUCCUUGGUAUUCCGAGGAGCAUGCCUGUUUGAGUGUCAUUAAAUUCUCAACCUCACCAGUUUUGUAACGAGACUGUGUAAGGCUUGGAUGUGGGGGUUUAUGCAGGCUGCCUCUGUGCGGUCUGCUCCCCUGAAAUGCAUUAGCGAGUUCACUAAGCUCCGUCUAUUGGUGUGAUAAUUAUCUACGCCGUGGAAUGGGUUUAGACUUGCUUCUAACCGUCUGCAAAGACAACUUUUGACAAUUUGACCUCAAAUCAGGUAGGACUACCCGCUGAACUUAA
rnacentral:misc_RNA from 1 species